rnacentral:rRNA from 1 species
AACGAACGCUGGCGGCAUGCCUAACACAUGCAAGUCGAACGAGACCUUCGGGUCUAGUGGCGCACGGGUGCGUAACGCGUGGGAACCUGCCCUUAGGUUCGGAAUAACUCCCCGAAAGGGGUGCUAAUACCGGAUAAUGUCUUCGGACCAAAGAUUUUUCGCCUUGGGAUGGGCCGUGUUGGGUUUCGGCGUGGGUAGGGGUAAAGCCUGCCAAGGCGGCGGUUCAUGGCUGGUCUGAGUGGCUGCUCAGCCACAACUGGGCUGCGACACAGCCCAGACGCCUACGGAGGGCUGCAGUGUGGAACAUUGGGCGAGGGGCGCAAGUCUAACCCAGCAGUGCCGCGUGAGUGGUGAAGGCCUUAGGAUUGUAAAGCUCUUUUACCCGGGAUGAUAAUGACGGUACCGGGAGAAGAAGCUCCGGCUAACUCCGUG